GAGUUUGAUCAUGGCUCAGAACGUACGCUGGCGGCACGCCUAACACAUGCAAGUCGAACGAAGUAGCAAUACUUAGUGGCAGACGGGUGAGUAACAUGUAGGUAUCUGCCCUUUGGCCUGGAAUAACACGAGGAAACUUGUGCUAAUACCGGAUAAGUCUUUACGGAGAAAGCUUUAUGCACCAUUGGAUGAGCCCGCACUUGAUUAGUUUGUUGGUAGGGUAAUGGCCUACCAAGACUAUGAUCAAUAGCUGAUUUGAGAGGAUGAUCAGCCACAUUGGGACUGAGACACGGCCCAAACUCCUACGGGGGGCAGCAGUGGGGAAUCUUGCACAAUGGAGGAAACUCUGAUGCAGCGAUGCCGCGUGAGUGAAGAAGGCCCUUGGGUUGUAAAGCUCUUUCGUCGGGGAAGAAAAUGACUGUACCCGAAUAAGAAGGUCCGGCUAACUUCGUGCCAGCAGCCGCGGUAAUACGAAGGGACCUAGCGUAGUUCGGAAUUACUGGGCUUAAAGAGUUCGUAGGUGGUUGAAAAAGUUGGUGGUGAAAUCCCAGAGCUUAACUCUGGAACUGCCAUCAAAACUUUUCAGCUAGAGUAUGAUAGAGGAAAGCAGAAUUUCUAGUGUAGAGGUGAAAUUCGUAGAUAUUAGAAAGAAUACCAAUUGCGAAGGCAGCUUUCUGGAUCAUUACUGACACUGAGGAACGAAAGCAUGGGUAGCGAAGAGGAUUAGAUACCCUCGUAGUCCAUGCCGUAAACGAUGUGUGUUAGACGUUGGAAAUUUAUUUUCAGUGUCGCAGGGAAACCGAUAAACACACCGCCUGGGGAGUACGACCGCAAGGUUAAAACUCAAAUGAAUUGACGGGGACCCGCACAAGUAGUGGAGCAUGUGGUUUAAUUCGAAGAUACGCGCAGAACCUUACCAACACUUGACAUGUUCGUCGCGACUCU
rnacentral:rRNA from 1 species